rnacentral:lncRNA from 1 species
ACAUUGGAACUGAUUAAACACCAAAGCAGAUUCACAGACAGCAUGAAUGAAAGUCUGAAAAAAUAAAGUCGACGCUAUUAGUGGAAAUGGAAAAGCAAGUAAUUUGUACUAAUUUGUUUGGCAAUGAAAUAACAUCAACAGCCAACUUCUGCUACUGUGAGUAUCUUCACAAGGAGAAUAAGAUACAGACAGUAGAAUAUCAAAGGAAAAACUCAUACACAACAUAUUAAAAAGGAGAAGCACACACUAAGCUGUAUUUCCAGCUUCUUCCACUGUAUCUCCUGCGUCACCAAACCUGUGAACCCAAACUACAAAUGAGAAGGGGGUGAAAAACAUUAGAGAGUGCUAUAUACCUUUUCCUCUCACUCCUUAUUCUGUGUGCUAUAGAAACAAUGAGAUUACGACAAAACAGGGAAAAUGGAACUUGGUGCUCAUAAACUAAUCAACUAAAGACGAACUGAGUAAUUCGUAAACUCAUGCUCAUUAAGUUGCAAAUUGUAUGUUAGUCCCCACCCCCACGCCAACUCCAAUUCCUAGAACUGUCCUCCAAAUCAAAAACUCAUGCAACUAAAUAUUUCCCAUGCUAUUUUAAGACUGCAUGCAUUUUUGCUUCCCCUAAUCAUGUGUUUCUAUAACAUAAACUCCUCCUUAUUUGGUUUUAUUGACCAAAGAACAAAAACAGUCCCUUUCCUUUACAGUGAUUCACCUGAAAUUGCAGUGAUUAUAGUGUGAUCUCGCCCUUAAAUUGCUGGAGUCACUUCAUAAGUUGGAUCCCUUGUUCUGAUACCAAAAGCAACGCUCUACAUGAUAAGAAGUUUGUAUUCUGACAGUCCCAAAAAUCAAUAUGAUGCUGACGAAUAUGUACACUUCAAUGGUUUGCAGAAGCACCCAAUCCAAGGACCCCAACAACAACAACUUCUUGUCAAAAGGAGCACGCGAGGGGGGGAGGGAUCUGUUGGAGCUCAUGUCAAGGAGUAUCCUAUGCUCCAUAUAUUUUCAAUCUCAAGAACAAAUUCCAUCAUCUCUGAUUCAAGCUGUGUUAAAACUGUCCAAGUGUAUCUUUUCCUCCGUAUUCACGGAUCAAAGGAAAUAGCAGUAUCUUGUUCGUCAGUCAGUAGCAACAUCUGCUCGCUCAAAAUUUGCAGCAUCGUAUAAAUUUCUUCCCUCUCAGGAUGCAACGCCUCUCCCGCAAAGAAGUAGCAGAUUGAUCCUCUAACUUGAAUCCAGCUAGAACCAGGUUCCUUAUAGAAGUAGCAAAUUUGAGCAUCGGGGCAUAUAGGCACUUGGUCAAUAGUCCUCUUCGCCUCUUCUAUAAGUCCAAGUCGACCAAGCACAUCAACCACAGGCAUAGUGUUAACAUGGGAUCACCCCAUGAAAUUUAAACAUAGAGUUUAGGUGAGACUGUGCUUCGUUCACUAGCCCUGCAUGGCAACAAUGAACUUAGAACACCGAGAUAAGUUAUCUCAUCAGGUUCCAUCCCCAAUUCAGGCAUUUCCUUAAACAGAUCGAAAACUUCACAGAAGCAACCUCGUUGAGCAUAUCCCACCAACAUGGUAUUCCAAGAAGCCAAAUUGCACUUAGAUAUAUCCCUAAAAGCCUUCUCUGCAUCUUCUAUGCAACCACACUUACAUUAAGCAUCAAUAACAGCACUUUCAACAAAUAUGUACUGAUUAACUCCAGAUUUAAAAGCCAGAUAAUGAAUUGUUCUUCCUAGAUCUAGAUCUGUUAACACACCACAAGCUUUCAGAACUAUGCUAAAAGUUGUCAACUUCAAGGGACAAGUUCCUCGCCUUCUGGAACAAUUUCAGGGCAUCAAAAUGGUAACUGCAAUGGACAAAUGUUGCUUCCAUGGCAUUUAGCAGUAAAAUGUUUGGUUCAUCAAUCUCUGCAAACACCCUCUUUGAUUCAUCAAUCCCUUUGCAUUUACCAUAUGACAUUAAACUAAACAACAUGGAAUUGUCGGACUCAAAUCCAAAUUUAAUUAUUAGAGAAUGUAUUUGCAUUGCCUGUAUUGGCGAACAUGAGUUGGACACAACUCCAAGAAUACUAGCAAUACUAUAUUUAUUAGGAAAUAUCGAGAAAUUGCAUAUAUGAGAAAACUUUAAAAUUGCCUCACUAAAAAGUCCAUUCUCAUAAUAACCAGCAAUAAGAGAAUUCCAAGAAACAGAAUCUGGACAAAUCAUCUCAUCAAAGACACACUUGGCAUCACCCAUCACUCCACAUUUUCCUUAUAAAGUGAUCACUGCAUUGCAAACAGAGACAAUAAAGAGAUGCCCAGCCUUGAAACAAAGCCCAUGAAUUUGUUUUCCAGGAUUCAACUUCUUUUAGCCUGCAAUGGCUGAGAGCACAUUACUCAAUGUAUACUCAUUUACCUCUAAACCUCUCGAAUAACAAAAUCCAAAAUAUUCGAAAGCUUCUACAUCAUCAUUUGCCACACCAAUUUGCCCGGUCCAAGAAACGUCUGGGUCAGGAAUUUCAUCGAACACUUUAAUAGCAUCAGGUUUUCUUCCCAAUCUACAAUACAUAAUUGUGGGGUGUAGUGUUUGUGAAAUGGAAGAAAGGAAAUCGAAGAUAGACACCUGCAAUAGACCAAUGGUGGAUGAAGGUGGCUGCAGACAGUUGUUGGUUGCGGUGGCCAAGCUGUGAUACAAAAAUAGUGAGUUCGACUGCCGGAGUUGUUUCUGAGAAACGGCUCUCUGACUGUCAAGUUAGCUAACCGAAGAAUCAAAACGUAUGUAGAGAGAGAGAAUAGAAGUUUAGAGUAGCUAAAUUUUUAUACCUUUGUGUAAAUAAGGCCUGACCUCAUAUAGUAGCUUGGCGCGUGUCUGAACGCGUCAACUGUCAUAUCACUGGACGCGCUAACUGCUAUGUCAACGAGUAAGCAGCUGACCCAACCAUAUCCCUGGGGCUUGACUAGUAGCCAACCAUCAUGUCACCGAUAUCUUAAUCCAAAUGUGGGGGUUGUCAAAAAGGACCGUGAUGUGGCAGUUACCCUGUCCCCUAUCGUACUUUGGGAUCACAGCUGGUCGUUAUACCCUGACCCAACUCCGGAGCAAUAACCCUACCGAGCUUGCUAUGGAGCGACAGCUCAGUAGUGUUACCUAUUGGGCUCGACCAGGCCGAUUAUUUGUAGUGUCAAACAUCGUGUCUUGAUCGGGUUCGGGCACAAUGACCCCUCUGAGCUUGCUAUAAAGCGACAGCCUAGCAGUAGUGCUUGCCCUGGCUUGGCCAGAGCUUUCACUUAAAGUAUUUUUUUUCCCUUACAAUUGUCCCUUAGUUCGCAUGAUCUGGAUCAAUACUUGUCAAGGUCAUGUGAACUGGACGCGUGUAACGUUGAAGUCAAGGCUUGGCGGGCACGCCAAUGCCUGCUAGCUGUCUUCCUUCUAUUUAGACCUGUCACUUCGACAUACUGUUGAGCCACGUGUCAAAGUCUAAUAUGGAAGCGACGCCCCUCAUCCUGUAUAACCAAUCUCAUCCAAUAAUUGCGUUAUAGGGGGAAUGUCUACUACAACAAACUUUAUCACCAACUCUUGGGAACCAACUCGUACAUUGAGGGUUAAAGUUCCCAAAGGCCAGUGAGACUGAGCAUUGAACCCUACCAAAGGAGCUCGGGCAGGUUUCAAAUCUUCUUUAGUUAGAUUAAGUUGUUUAAAUAGAUCAUAUUACAUCACCAUAACCGAACUCUCGGUGUCCACUAGGAUUCUCUUGACGUCGUAAUUAUAGACUCGCAACUGGAUGACCAAAGGAUCGCUGUGAGGGUGUUGGACCUGCUCUAGAUCAGUUUUGGUAAAGGUGAUGCUACCUGACUCAGAUUGAUACUAUCUUGGCUUUUUGGAAGUUGGUUGGACCAAGAGUACCUCGUGCAUUUGGCAUACGAUGCGUAUCUCCCCCGGAUCUUAUUCGCGAGAUCGGGGUAGAGUGGUCCCCCAAUCAUGUGAAUAGUUCCCAAAGGAAGAUCUUCUUCCAUGGCAUCUUCGGUUCCUUCAUUGUUGAGGUCAAGCUUGGGGUUAGGUUGACCCGGCUUCCUCUGCCCGAGUUUUUUUCCUGAUUAACAAACUCUUUCAGAUGCCCAUCCUAAACAAGCUAAUUAAGAAAAAACUUCAAGCUCGAUAAUUCUCAGUUUUGUGUCCUUUUUCCUCAUGAAACGAACACUUCCACCGAUUGUGGUUUCUGGGGUCACCUCCCAUAGGUGUGGGUUUCUUAAAGUAUGGCUUAUUUCGAAUUCGAGUGAGGAGCUUGUAGAUUGGCCAAGUUAAUCUUUUGCCUCGUCUAUCCUUCAUACUCAGGCGAGCUCUCCUUUCGUUUUUUGAACGGUGCCUCACCCUAGGGAUUUGACCAUGUAGCUCAUUCUGCUUGCCAAAUGUCAUCCUCUAGCCAAACGAACAUUUCGACCCGAGACAUGAGGUCUCGAAGGUCAGCUGGUAGGUUGAGCGUCAGGUCUUCCCAAAGUUUCUCUCCCGAAGUCAAUCCAAGUUUGUAACUAACCACUGUUAGCUCUUCAGAACAUUUCUCGAUCUCAUUAUACAUCUCCCAAUAACGAUUGUUGUAAUUGCGGAGCGAUUCGUUCCUUCCCUUUUGAAAUGUUAGAAGAGAGCUAAAAGCACCCUUUGGUGCCUUUGUGUUUAUAAUGAACCGAGCCACGAAUGACUCGGUAAGCUGGUGGAAUUUCCAAUAGAUCCUGUGGGUAGCUUAUCAAACCAUUUCAACCCAAGAUCCCCUUGACUCGACGAGAAUACCCUACACAUGAGUGCAUCAAAGUGAUUCCAGAGGGCCAUCAUUUGCCUAGCGUGGCUGACAUGGGAUCUCGGAUCGGAUUUCCCGUUGUACAGUGUGAACUUUGGUGGUGUAAACUUUUUGGCAGGGUCUAUUCACUCGAUGUCUGGGGAGAAUACUGUUUAGUACCUCGAGAUUAACUCCCUUAGUACGGACUUGGUUGUAUAGGCUGUUGACCUUGCCGGCAUGAUGGUUUUCACUAGUGUUGUUAUUCGACUGUGAAGCUU